CAGCCGUAAACUAUGCGCGUUAGGUGUACUGGUGACCACGAGUCACCGGGGUGCCGAAGGGAAACCGUGAAACGUGCCGCCUGGGAAGUACGGUCGCAAGGCUGAAGCUUAAAGGAAUUGGCGGGGGAGCACCACAACGGGUGGAGCCUGCGGUUUAAUUGGACUCAACGCCGGAAAACUCACCAGGGAAGACUGUUACAUGAAGGCCGAGAUGAAGACUCUGCUAGAUUUUCAGAGAGGUGGUGCAUGGCGUCAGUGACU
rnacentral:rRNA from 1 species